rnacentral:rRNA from 1 species
GGUGGUGCAUGGUUGUCGUCAGCUCGUGUCGUGAGAUGUUGGGUUAAGUCCCGCAACGAGCGCAACCCUUAAGCUUAGUUGCCAUCAUUAAGUUGGGCACUCUAGGUUGACUGCCGGUGACAAACCGGAGGAAGGUGGGGAUGACGUCAAAUCAUCAUGCCCCUUAUGAUUUGGGCUACACACGUGCUACAAUGGAUAAUACAAAGGGCAGCGAAUCCGCGAGGCCAAGCAAAUCCCAUAAAAUUAUUCUCAGUUCGGAUUGUAGUCUGCAACUCGACUACAUGAAGCUGGAAUCGCUAGUAAUCGUAGAUCAGCAUGCUACGGUGAAUACGUUCCCGGGUCUUGUACACAC